UACGAAGGGGGCUAGCGUUGUUCGGAAUUACUGGGCGUAAAGCGCGCGUAGGCGGUUUUGCAAGCCAGAGGUGAAAUGCCUGAGCUCAACUUAGGAAUUGCCUUUGGGACUGCGAGGCUUUGAGGACGGGAGAGGUGAGUGGAAUUCCCAGUGUAGAGGUGAAAUUCGUAGAUAUUCGGAAGAACACCAGUGGCGAAGGCGGAUCUCUGGGCCUUACCUGACGCUCAGGUGCGAAAGCUAGGGGAGCGAACAGG
rnacentral:rRNA from 1 species